GCGUGUUCGCUUUCUUCUUAACAAAUUUAUGGAUACAGGAAAUGCAUCCGUAACAAUUUAAUAGUUAAAAGAAAGAAUUAGAAAUUCUACAGGCCAAGAAACUUGGCAAGGUGAAACUGUUUGGCAUUAAAAAUUAUAGAAAAUUCGAUUUCUAAAACCCACAGAAUAGGAAUUAAUAACAAAAAGAAAAUUGAACAUUAAUCUCCUGGAUGCAGCCGCGUGGAAUAACUUUUGCAGUCUCUUUCCUUUUAAAAAAAUGUCCGGAUAGAGAUAAUGUAUCCGUAAUAAUCUAAAAGUUGAAAAAGAAUGAAGAGUUCAUCUGAUGAUCUGAGUAAAUGGGGUCAAAGGAGAAGGAAGUAAAAAAUCGGCUUCGAGGAUGUGCAGAAUUGUAGACGAGAGUCUGUUAACUCUGAAUCAGACCUUCAUUGCCUUAUUGCAGGGAAAGUUUCUUCAGUAAGCUUUACAUUACCAGUAAAUCGGUAACAACAAAUUGGUACACUGUUUAAGAAUGGCUGUUCAUAACGGUUCAUUGCUGAGGAAACGGACUAUUUUACCCUUCAUUUGGGAGGAAUCUGUUGGCAGUUUGUUAAUUUACAAUGAUUUUCUGGGUUAUACUUGUGUAGUUUUUACCUAAACAAGCUACAAUUCAACAUACCUCUGCAGUCUAACCUAGAGUAUCAUACCAGAAGAUAAUCGAAAAUUGGAAUGAUCUUCUGGGGCUGACUCUGUAUGUUGUUGAAACCUAUUUAACCGACAAUUUAAACAGUUUAAAAAACCUAGCCAAAAAUAUUAUUUUAAACUUUAUCAUAACUGUAAUAAUGUUCUUGGUUAAAUUGUGUGGCUUUUUUUGUUAAAAUUUAAAGAACCUCUGCAUUUUAUCCCAGAAAAUUAUAUCAACUUUUAUCAUUAGCCUAAAAUAAGAGACCCUCUAACAUAGUUGCAACUGUUCUUGGGGUUAGACUAUGUGGGUUGUUUUUAACAGCAUUGCAAAAUUGAUCGUUAUUACAAUUGAUAGGCCCUUCCAACACAAUAGCAAUGAUCUUCUGGUUACAAUACAUAGAUGCAAUGGUCUUCUGAUAAGAUUGCAUAGGUUGUUUAGGCAAUGGUUUCUUAGAACCUAAACCACCUAAGCAGUUAACCCAAAACAUCAUACCAA